rnacentral:rRNA from 1 species
AUACGGAGGAUCCGAGCGUUAUCCGGAUUUAUUGGGUUUAAAGGGUGCGCAGGCGGCCAUUUAAGUCAGCGGUUAAAUCGUGGGGCUCAACCCCAUUCUGCCGUUGAUACUGGGUGGCUUGAUUGCGGUCGAGGUUGGCGGAAUUCGUUGUGUAGCGGUGAAAUGCAUAGAUAUGACGAAGAACACCGAUUGCGUAGGCAGCUGGCCAGACCGCAAAUGACGCUCAUGCACGAAAGUGCGGGGAACGAACAGGAUUAGAUACCCUGGUAGUCCGCACAGUAAACGAUGAAUACUUGUUUUCGGCGAUAUAAUGUCGGAGGCAAAGCGAAAGCGAUAAGUAUUCCACCUGGGGAGUACGCCGGCAACGGUGAAACUCAAAGGAAUUGACGGGG